rnacentral:rRNA from 1 species
UCGGGAAUUUUGGGCAAUGGGCGAAAGCCUGACCCAGCAACGCCGCGUGAGGGAUGAAGGCCCUCGGGUCGUAAACCUCUGUCGGGAGGGAAGAACGAUCGCAAGGUGAAUAAUCUUGGGGUCUGACGGUACCUCCAAAGGAAGCGCCGGCUAACUCCGUGCCAGCAGCCGCGGUAAUACGGAGGGCGCAAGCGUUGUUCGGGAUCAUUGGGCGUAAAGCGCGUGUAGGCGGCUUGGCAAGUCGGGUGUGAAAUCCCGGGGCUCAACCCCGGAACUGCAUUCGAUACUGCCUCGCUAGAGUCCCGGAGAGGAGGGCGGAAUUCCCGGUGUAGAGGUGAAAUUCGUAGAUAUCGGGAGGAACACCAGUGGCGAAGGCGGCCCUCUGGACGGUGACUGACGCUGAGAUGCGAAAGCGUGGGGAGCAAACAGGAUUAGAUACCCUGGUAGUCCACGCUGUAAACGUUGGGUGCUAGGUGUCGCGGGUAUUGACCCUGCGGUGCCGACGCUAACGCAUUUACG